CUGUAUGGGGAGGGGACUUUCGGCGGUAACUAGGGGGAGAUGAGGUCGUGAAUGUGGCGUCCUCUUGAAUGGAGUCAUGUUCUUGUGAGAGUCCCCACUGUGCUCUCUAUGCUGUGAGGACACAAGAAGCCAACCAGGAGAGGACUUUCAUCAGAGCGCCGCCAUGUUGGCUCCUGAGCUCAGAAGUCCAGCCUCCAAACUCAUACAACUAUGGCCUUAUGGAGAGUUCCCUCUGAUCAGGUGACAGAAGGGAAGACUAGCUUCUGUGCGAUAUUGUGUGGUCUAUAACAUGGUUUCUUUCUUCAAAUAAAUUGAUGGACAUUUAAUUCAGUCAGAAGGAACGUUAAAUGAUGCCACCUACAUUUCUGUGACAUGGAGAAGCAAUGACUAACAACUAGAGUCCAUUAAAAGUCACCUGUUAAAAUUAGUGGAAUAUUCAACUUAGAUGUUGUGUUAUGUAUCUCUUGGAAACACCAAUAACAGCCUUUUACAAAGAUGGCAUGGAAAGUAAAGAAGGAAGUCCUUGCCCCUCCUAAGCCAAAGCCAAAGUAGGAGCUUUGAAAUCCAAGAAAGCAGUUUUGAAAGCUGUCAAUAGCCAAAAGAAAAAAAUCUGCAGGUCACCCACCUUCCGGAGUCCCAAGGCACUAUGACUCUGAAUGCACCCCAAAUAUUCACAGAAGAGCACCCCAAGAAGAAACAAGAUUAAUCAAUGUCCUAUCAUCAAUCUUUCCUUGACCACAGAGUCUGCCACAAAGAAGAUAGGUGACAACUCACUUGUGUACAUGGUGGGUGUCAACCAGAUACAACAGGUGGGAAGAAACUUGAUGACAUUGACAUGACCAAGGUCAACACCCUGAUUAGACCUGAUAGAGCAAAGAAGGUGUACAUUCAACUGGCUCCUAACUGUGAUGCUUUAGAUGUUUCCAACAAAAAUUGGGAACAUCUAAAGUGAGUCUAGCUGGCUAGCUCUAAAUAUAGUUCUUUUCAACAUAAAAAAAUACAAAUGGUCUUGGG